CCAUGCUUGCAAGUAAAGCAGACCCUGGAAGAGACCAUGACCUUCAAAGUGCACCCUGCCUCCAAAGCAAGAACAAGCUCUUCAUCAGCAGUCAGAGGGAACCCCAGCGUUCAUGCUUCAGCAUGCGAGAUGGGGAUGACAGGCCUAGCUUAUAGAGCUAUUACAAGGAUUAAAGGAGACAAGUAUCCUGUGCCGUCUCGACAUUCAAAACGCAUUCAGGAAGUAUUUGUUGCUGCUGUUGCUACUGCUGCUGCUGUUCUGAUGAAAACCCUUCUGUCUCAAUCAGAGGCCAAUAGCAGAAGCAAAGUACCAGGAGACAGACAGAUACACCAUCACACAGAAUGAACCCAAGAGGCAAGGAUAGAAUAACUGCUGGGGCAAGAAGAAAACCGAGACCUGAAGAUGUACUGAUGGAAGACAACAGACGACAGCAAUUUCAAAAUGUGAACCCAGGAGUCCAGCCAGCCCAGCGAGGCCCAGCUCACCCUCUCCAGCUCAUGAUGAAGCAGGUUCAUUGUGUACUGGUUACCCCCUUGCCCGAGUCCAGUGAGACAGGACACACACACAUUACAGAAAGUGAAUUUUUACUUAUAAAUUGGCAGCUAGGACAAAGAACCCCAGGAUUCACGGCGAGCUGAUUGUCCAAGAUUCAGGAAGUUGCCCAGGCCAGGUGGAGUCUUACCUGUGUAUGCCCCAUUUGUACUGGAUCUGAGAGACCCCAGAAAACAGCCCUCCCCAGCCCCAGGCUUUAUAACUCAGGGGAAACUUAACUCACUAGGCAUUGAAAAACAUGCAAAUACUAGGAAGGCCAGCACUAGAGUCCAGGCUGUGCCAACCACUCCCUCCCCUGUCUCCAGAUACUGCAUUCCCAGCUCAUGCUACAGCAAUUCUUGAGAAAUACUUGUGAGCAAUGGGAGGAGAACCAUCUUGUAAUAUGGGACAAGUUUCUUAACCUUUCCUAAGCCUCACCAUUCUCAUUUGUAAGGUGAUCCACUCGAAGGGUA